GGGUCAGUAGCUCAGUCGGUUAGAGCAUCGUCUUGAUAAGGCGGGGGUCACAGGUUCGAUUCCUGUCUGACCCA
rfam:Janthinobacterium sp. B9-8, complete genome.